rnacentral:rRNA from 1 species
UAGUCCACGCCCUAAACGAUGCUUACUCGACAUGUGCGAUAUACUGUACGUGUCCAAGGGAAACCGCUAAGUAAGCCACCUGGGGAGUACGUUCGCAAGAAUGAAACUCAAAGGAAUUGACGGGGGCCCGCACAAGCGGUGGAACAUGUGGUUUAAUUCGAUGAUACGCGAGGAACCUUACCUGGGCUUAAAUGUAGAACGACGUUUCGGGAAACUGAUUCUCCCUUCGGGGCGUUUUACAAGGUGCUGCAUGGUUGUCGUCAGCUCGUGCCGUGAGGUGUCGGGUUAAGUCCCAUAACGAGCGCAACCCUUAUCGUUAGUUGCCAGCGGGUAAUGCCGGGGGACUCUAACGAAACUGCCGGUGUAAACCGAGAGGAAGGUGGGGAUGACGUCAAAUCAGCACGGCCCUUAUGUCCAGGGCUACACACGUGUUACAAUGGCCGGUACAGAGGGCAGCUACCUAGUGAUAGGAUGCAAAUCUCGAAAGCCGGUCUCAGUUCGGAUUGGAGUCUGCAACUCGACUCCA